rnacentral:lncRNA from 1 species
AAGCAAUCCUCUGGCUUCACCUUCCCAAGUGUCUAGGACUACAGAAAUCCCAAAGGUUCCACUGAGGAAAGAACUUCCUGAAGACUCUGCACUCUGUGAAGAUCAUCAAGAGGAGCGCAUGUGCUGUGCAUGGUGAUGGCUGCAUUUGGUGAGAGGUAGAUGAUCAGCAGAGAUAGGAUUUGUCUAAACGAGAGCUGACUUAGACCUUGGGCCACUCAGGAAUACCUGUGAAGAACCAUCUCCUGGCUUCUAACCUAGUCAGGGCAAAUUACUCCAAUACGAUAUAUGUGCCUUUGCACUGGAGUCACUUUAAUAACACAGAACACCGAUGCUUCCCCAUGGCUGGAAGUAUUGCUUCCAAAUCUAAUCACAUUAACUCCACUCACUCACUACAGCUUCCUCAUCCUAGCAACAUCUUUUAUCCCAAGGAGGCUUGUUUUCGAGCAGUCUUUUUGGCUUAAAGGCAAGAAUAGGAAUUGGAUGAGUUUCAAUUUCCCCCAGCCAGUGCACAUGUAGGACAGAUGGUGGAAAACCCACGUUGGCCUGAUUUUCAGAGGAACUAGUCCCUCAUGAGAUCAUCAAUCAGUUACUAACAAUCAAAAAACACCCAUAAAUCAUACAUUAUGUUUUGCAGUUUACAGAGCUGUUCUAUAGACAUCAGUGGUUUCUAAUCCAGGAUUCCCAUUACAGUCCAAGGAGUGUCUUAAAAUUUCUUUUCUUUACUUUCUUUUUUUUUUUUUGAGACAGAAUCUUGUUCUGACACCCAGGCAGGAGUGCAGUGACACGAUUUCAGCUCACUGCAGCCUCUGCCUCCCAGGUUCAAGUGAUUCCCCUGCCUUAGUCACCAGAGUAGCUGAGAUUACAGAUCUGCACCAUCACGCCUGGCUAAUUUUUGUAUUUUC